UUCCAGACUCCUACGGGAGGCAGCAGUGAGGAAUAUUGGUCAAUGGGAGAGAUCCUGAACCAGCCAAGCCGCGUGAGGGAAGACGGCCCUAUGGGUUGUAAACCUCUUUUGUCGGAGAACAAAACCCGGGACGUGUCCCGGACUGCGUGUAUCCGAAGAAAAAGCAUCGGCUAACUCCGUGCCAGCAGCCGCGGUAAUACGGAGGAUGCGAGCGUUAUCCGGAUUUAUUGGGUUUAAAGGGUGCGUAGGCGGUCCGUUAAGUCAGCGGUAAAAUUUCGGGGCUCAACCCCGUCGUGCCGUUGAAACUGGCGUUCUUGAGUGAGCGAGAAGUAUGCGGAAUGCGUGGUGUAGCGGUGAAAUGCAUAGAUAUCACGCAGAACCCCGAUUGCGAAGGCAGCCUUCCGGCGCCCUACUGACGCUGAGGCACGAAAGCGUGGGUAUCGAACAGGAUUAGAUACCCGAGUAAU
rnacentral:rRNA from 1 species